rnacentral:rRNA from 1 species
UAUCUCUGUAGAGUCUGCAUAUCAAUAAGCGGAGGAAAAGAAACUAACAAGGAUUCCCCUAGUAACGGCGAGUGAAGCGGGAAGAGCUCAAAUUUGAAAUCUUCAAGGUUCUGACCUUGACGAAUUGUAGUUUAAAGAAGUGUUUUCGGUUAGAGGAGUUUAGUAAAAGUUCUUUGGAAUAGGACAUCAUAGAGGGUGAGAAUCCCGUAUUUGACCUAUUAUUUCCUAGCUUUGUGAUACACUUUCAAAGAGUCGGAUUGUUUGGGAAUGCAGUCCAAAAUGGGUGGUAAAUUUCAUCUAAAGCUAAAUAUUGGCGAGAGACCGAUAGCGAACAAGUACCGUGAGGGAAAGAUGAAAAGAACUUUGAAAAGAGAGUUAAACAGUACGUGAAAUUGUCAAAAGGGAAGCGUUUGACACCAGUGUUGUUUUUCCGAAAAUCAAUUAAAAAUUGAUUCAUGCCAGGUUGUAUUGACCUUAUCAGCUUGCAAUUUGGUUUUGGGUCUCUUUUUGAUGCACUUUUCGGUUAACAAGUCAACAUCAAUUUCCUUUGCUGUAAAAAGGUAAGAGGAAGGUGGCUUCAAUUUCGGUUGAAGUGUUUAUAGCCUUUUAUCUCUGCAGUCGGGGAGAUUGAGGUCUGCAGCGUAGAUCCUUCGGGGCUAGAUACAUUUAUGCUAAGUUAUAGCUUUUCAUAGACAACUUGUUGACUAUGUUUAGUCAUGUAGCUUACUCGUAAGUGCUAUUUUACCUACGCUUAGGAUGUUGAAGACUCUACAGAGAUA